UACGGAGGGUGCGAGCGUUGCUCGGAAUCACUGGGCGUAAAGGGUGCGUAGGCGGGUCUUUAAGUCAGGGGUGAAAUCCUGGAGCUCAACUCCAGAACUGCCUUUGAUACUGAGGAUCUUGAGUACGGGAGAGGUGAGUGGAACUGCGAGUGUAGAGGUGAAAUUCGUAGAUAUUCGCAAGAACACCAGUGGCGAAGGCGGCUCACUGGCCCGUAACUGACGCUGAGGCACGAAAGCGUGGGGAGCAAACAGG
rnacentral:rRNA from 1 species